rnacentral:rRNA from 1 species
CCUACGGGAGGCAGCAGUGAGGAAUAUUGGUCAAUGGCCGAGAGGCUGAACCAGCCAAGUCGCGUGAAGGAAGAAGGAUCUAUGGUUUGUAAACUUCUUUUAUAGGGGAAUAAAGUGGAGGACGUGUCCUUUUUUGUAUGUACCCUAUGAAUAAGCAUCGGCUAACUCCGUGCCAGCAGCCGCGGUAAUACGGAGGAUGCGAGCGUUAUCCGGAUUUAUUGGGUUUAAAGGGUGCGUAGGUGGUGAUUUAAGUCAGCGGUGAAAGUUUGUGGCUCAACCAUAAAAUUGCCGUUGAAACUGGGUUACUUGAGUGUGUUUGAGGUAGGCGGAAUGCGUGGUGUAGCGGUGAAAUGCAUAGAUAUCACGCAGAACUCCGAUUGCGAAGGCAGCUUACUAAACCAUAACUGACACUGAAGCACGAAAGCGUGGGGAUCAAACA